rnacentral:RNase_P_RNA from 1 species
GAGGGAGGUCGGGAAGUCGCGUCCCCGUAUUGGGGAUGAGGAAAGUCCGAGCUCCAAAGGGCAGGGUGCCACCUAACUGGUGGGCGCGGUAACGCGACGGAUAGGGCCACAGAAACCAAACAGCCGAUGGCCCGAAAGGGCUCAGGCUAAGGUGAAACCGUGGGGUAAGAGCCCACGAUGGUGUCACGCAAGUGGCACCAUGGCAACCCCCACCCGGAGCAAGGUCAAGCAGGGGCGAUGGAGUGGCCCGCUCCAAGCCCCGGGUAGACCGCUGAAAUCCACCGGUGACGGUGGAUUAAGAGAAAUGACUUCCCUCGACAGAACUCGGCUUACAGACCUCCCUCACCC